rnacentral:rRNA from 1 species
AUGGCGGCUGGUUCAAGUUCGCAGGGACGACAAGGGAAGGAGACGACGGAGGAACUUCUUGCAAGGUUGAAUCUGCAGGAGGAAGAGGAUGACGUUUUUGUGUGGGAAGAGGAAUUGCCGGAUCUGGGAGCGCCGGCGAAGUGGCUUGCUAUAGCCAGAGUACACACCACAAAGACCUUCAACCCCAAUGCUCUGUAUGGGGACAUGCAUGCCGCAUGGAACCCUGCGAAAACGGUGGUUUGGAGGAAGAUCAAGGAAAACUUGUUCACUGCCCAGUUUGGCUGCCUAGGGGACUGG